UUGCCUACGGGAGGCAGCAGUAGGGAAUUUUCGUCAAUGGGCGCAAGCCUGAACGAGCGAUGCCGCGUGAGUGAAGAAGGCCUUCGGGUCGUAAAGCUCUGUUGCGGGGGAAAAAAGGCAGCAUCAGGAAAUGGGUGCUGACUGAUGGUGCCCCGCCAGAAAGUCACGGCUAACUGCGUGCCAGCAGCCGCGGUAAUACGUAGGUGGCGAGCGUUAUCCGUAGUGAUUGGGCGUAAAGGGUGCGCAGGCGGUCCUGCAAGUCUGGAGUGAAACGCACGAGCUCAACUCAUGCACGGCUCUGGAAA
rnacentral:rRNA from 1 species